rnacentral:rRNA from 1 species
CACGUAGGGCGCAAGCGUUGUCCGGAAUUAUUGGGCGUAAAGAGCUCGUAGGCGGUCUGUUGCGUCCGCUGUGAAAACCCGGGGCUUAACCCUGGGCUGGCAGUGGAUACGGACAGACUAGAGGUAGGUAGGGGAGAAUGGAAUUCCCGGUGUAGCGGUGAAAUGCGCAGAUAUCGGGAGGAACACCGGUGGCGAAGGCGAGUCUCUGGACAUUUCCUGACGCUGAGGCACGAAAGCCAGGGGAGCAAACGGG